rnacentral:lncRNA from 13 species
CGUUCGCACGCCUGAGACAAUCAUGCGUACGAGAGAUGUGUCGCAAAUAAAAAUACAUCUGCGUGCGUUAUGAGGAUCACGCGCAUGCGAAUACUAGUAAGCGCGCAUAUUGCGAUCAUUGUGCAGGCACUUUGUUAUCUGGAGAACUUAUAAAUAGCUUAUGAAAUUCUGAGCUGUUCUUUUUUUAAUUCUGUAAGAUGAAAGAGUGGGGAAGGGACAGAUUUUCAAGAAUCAAUUAACUGGUGUUAUGCUGAGGCGUUAAAAUAGAAAGAGCUCUCAAUUCGUUUUCUCGCUGUGAUCUAUUCGCUUGUAUCAUAUCAAGUAGCGCAUGUAAACAGUGUGAACAAAUGCCAAAGAAUAAUUACACUAAUAGCGACGUAUUCUCAGGGGGGGCAAUGGUGUAAAAUCAAUAAAAUGAGCAUGUUGUUGAUUUUUUAUAAAGACACACAUACAAAGAAAAUGAUUAUUUAAUUGAGUGCAUAAAUAACUCGUUGGUUAACAUCACUCGAGAAAGAUGAGAUAAUUAGUGAAUAAGGAGAGAAUUGGGUGAGCAGCAUUACAAUUUUUCAAACAAACACUAGGAACAAAUAGCAACUAUUUCUGUCCGGGUGAAUAUCAGAAAAAA